rnacentral:rRNA from 1 species
CCUACGGGAGGCAGCAGUGGGGAAUUUUGGACAAUGGGCGCAAGCCUGAUCCAGCCAUGCCGCGUGCGGGAAGAAGGCCUUCGGGUUGUAAACCGCUUUUGUCAGGGAAGAAAAGGUUCUGGAUAAUACCUGGGACUCAUGACGGUACCUGAAGAAUAAGCACCGGCUAACUACGUGCCAGCAGCCGCGGUAAUACGUAGGGUGCAAGCGUUAAUCGGAAUUACUGGGCGUAAAGCGUGCGCAGGCGGUUAUGCAAGACAGAGGUGAAAUCCCCGGGCUCAACCUGGGAACUGCCUUUGUGACUGCAUAGCUAGAGUACGGUAGAGGGGGAUGGAAUUCCGCGUGUAGCAGUGAAAUGCGUAGAUAUGCGGAGGAACACCGAUGGCGAAGGCAAUCCCCUGGACCUGUACUGACGCUCAUGCACGAAAGCGUGGGGAGCAAACAGGAUUAGAUACCCUGGUAGUCCACGCCCUAAACGAUGUCAACUGGUUGUUGGGAGGGUUUCUUCUCAGUAACGAAGCUAACGCGUGAAGUUGACGCCUGGGAGUCGCGCAAGGUUGAACUCAAGGAUUGNGNGNGNGNGNGCGAGAGAGACGAGGAG